UUAAAUAUUUUAUAGUACUCAGACAUCACUAAACACAGAGUUUGGGGCCUCUGGCAGGCGCUGGUCAGCCGGAGCCGACGCCCGAAGGCGGCCUGCCAAAGCAACAAAGGUAGAUAGACACGGUUUUGGGUAUUGAACCCAUUUUAAGCCUUGCGGCAAAAACGGGGCGUUAUUAAUGAUCCUUCCGCAGGUUCACCUACGGAAA
rnacentral:misc_RNA from 1 species